AUGUUAAGAAGUCUUCAGAAUCAUUUCCUACCCUCUCAAGGAACCCAUUCUCUCAAGGCACACACUGUUCCUGUCGGAGAGGCUGUCUCCCUACACCAUUCCUGUCAGAGGCUCCCUAUACCAUUCCUGUCAGAGAGGCUGUCUCCCUACACCAUUCCUGUUGGAGGCUGUCUCCCUACACCAUUCCUGUCGGAAGCUGUCUUCCUACACUGUUCCUGUCGGAGGCUCCCUACACCAUUCCUGUCAGAGAGGCUGUCUCCGUACACCAUUCCUGUCGGAGGCUGUCUCCCUACACCAUUCCUGUCGGAGGCUGUCUCCCUACACCGUUCCUGUCAGAGGCUGUCUCCCUACACCAUUCCUGUCGGAGGCUGUCUCCCUACACCGUUCCUGUCGGAGGCUGUCUCCCUACACCGUUCCUGUCGGAGGCUGUCUCCCUACACCGUUCCUGUCGGAGAGGCUGUCUCCCUACACCGUUCCUGUCGGAGAGGCUGUCUCCAUACACCGUUCCUGUCAGAGGCUGUCUCCCUACACCGUUCCUGUCGGAGAGGCUGUCUCCCUACACCGUUCCUGUCGGAGAGGCUGUCUCCAUACACCGUUCCUGUCGGAGGCUGUCUCCCUACACCGUUCCUGUCGGAGAGGCUGUCUCCCUACACCGUUCCUGUCGGAGAGGCUGUCUCCCUACACCGUUCCUGUCGGAGAGGCUGUCUCCCUACACCGUUCCUGUCAGAGAGGCUGUCUCCCUACACCGUUCCUGUCGGAGAGGCUGUCUCCCUACACCGUUCCUGUCGGAGAGGCUGUCUCCAUACACCGUUCCUGUCGGAGGCUGUCUCCAUACACCGUUCCUGUCGGAGAGGCUGUCUCCCUACACCGUUCCUGUCGGAGAGGCUGUCUCCCUACACCGUUCCUGUCGGUGGCUGUCUCCCUACACCGUUCCUGUCGGAGGCUGUCUCCCUACACCGUUCCUGUCGGAGGCUGUCUCCCUACACCGUUCCUGUCGGAGGCUGUCUCCCUACACCGUUCCUGUCGGAGGCUCCCUACACCAUUCCUGUCAGAGAGGCUGUCUCCCUACACCAUUCCUGUCAGAGGCUCCCUACACCAUUCCUGUCAGAGAGGCUGUCUCCCUACACCAUUCCUGUCAGAGGCUCCCUACACCAUUCCUGUCGGAGAGGCUGUCUCCCUACACCGUUCCUGUCGGAGGCUGUCUCCCUACACCGUUCCUGUAGGAGGCUGUCUCCCUACACCGUUCCUGUCGGAGAGGCUGUCUCCCUACACCGUUCCUGUCGGAGGCUGUCUCCCUACACCGUUCCUGUCGGAGGCUGUCUCCCUACACCGUUCCUGUAG
rnacentral:lncRNA from 1 species